AUUGAACGCUGGCGGCAGGCUUAACACAUGCAAGUCGAGCGGGGUGAUGGUGCUUGCACUAUCACUUAGCGGCGGACGGGUGAGUAAUGCUUAGGAAUCUGCCUAUUAGUGGGGGACAACAUCUCGAAAGGGAUGCUAAUACCGCAUACGUCCUACGGGAGAAAGCAGGGGAUCACUUGUGACCUUGCGCUAAUAGAUGAGCCUAAGUCGGAUUAGCUAGUUGGUGGGGUAAAGGCCUACCAAGGCGACGAUCUGUAGCGGGUCUGAGAGGAUACUCCGCCACACUGGGACUGGGACACGGCCCAGACUCCUACGGGAGGAAGCAGUGGGGAAUAUUGGAAAAUGGGGGGAACCCUGAUCCAGCCAUGCCGCGUGUGUGAAGAAGGCCUUAUGGUUGUAAAGCACUUUAAGCGAGGAGGAGGCUCUUUUGGUUAAUACCCAAGAUGAGUGGACGUUACUCGCAGAAUAAGCACCGGCUAACUCUGUGCCAGCCGCCGCGGUAA
rnacentral:rRNA from 1 species